rnacentral:lncRNA from 1 species
CAGGCAGCAUCUUACCCAAGGCCUCAUCCCUUAAAACUUGAUUUCUGCAGAAACACAGCAGAUGUUCAUUCCACCUCUGUCACCUCACCCACUAAGAGUACCGGCUCCUUACAUACGGGUGCAGCUGUGUGGAGAGCACAUCCCACCUGCUGGAGUUCCUACGACUGUAACUGGAGUAGAAAAUGACCUUCUGGUGGGAUUUUACAGAAGUAAGAACCUCAGGCUAGCUGAAUGAAAUUCUCCUUAUAAAAAUACUUCAGUGCUAAUGACAAUAACAAUGAGGGAACCAGUGAUUUAAUACUGGAGGAUGCUGCUGAGGAAACAUUGACAUAAGGGCAGGGGCAGCAGGAUGCUGGAGUCUACUUUGCUGUUGGCUGGGGUGCAGGAGCUGGCAGAGGACUGGAGAUGGAUGGCACAGUGCAGAGGAACCCAGGCUGGCAUGUACACGUCAUGGGACAGCCAGCAGCCCAGACAAGGAUCAGCCUCAUUUGUCAACACAUCUACUGAGCUGGUGUGGCUCCUGUCAGCAACCCCUUCCUGA